GUAGAGCCAUUUUUGAACAAAGAAAAAAUAACUCUUGUUUUAUUCGAUUAUGCGUUUUGUAACUUGGAGAACUAUAUUUGCUGGUGGUUCAAUUAUGUUUGGCAAUCAUACGCGCUUAUGUUUCAAGUUAUCCCAGCUGGAAUUGGAUGCGAUUGUAUCUUUCUUAUUCUUACUGGAUACGUUUAUAACGCAUGUAUUAUGUUUACAACUGCUUUGGUGAAGUUGAACACCGAAGAUGUGGAAUAUCGCAAGUAUUUUUUGAAGCAAGCUGUUAACCAACACGACUUGAUUAUAACAUUUGUAAAUUAUAUUGAUGAUGUGUUUACUACCAUGAUGGUAAUACAAUUUUGGUGUUCUCUAUGGUCAAUGAUUUUGUUUUUAAAUAUGAUAGUGGCCAAUGGACUACCACCAAAAAUAGAAGAAGUGAUGUAUUAUGGACUGAUUUACAUGAUAUUUGUCUUUGAGUUGUUUCUAUAUUCAUUUUGUGGAGCCAUAAUUGAAGGAAAAAUUAGAAAUUUAGCAAAUGAUAUUUUUUUGCAAGUUAACUGGUAUGAUCAAGGAAGAACCAACUUGAGAAAGGAUUUAUCCUUGAUGAUUUUCCGUGCCCAAAACUCAAAAAUUUUGAGUGCAGGAAAAAUGUCGGAUUUAAAUUUACCACUCUGGAUUGCCACAAUGAAAAAUUCGUUAUCCGUGUUUACGUUAAUUUGGCAACUCUCACAAGAGCAAGGACACGGUACAUCAUUGUAAAUAAAUAGUUACUAUAAUAAGGAAUUUUACGUACAUAAUGAAUAUGUUACUUUAUACAUUUUUAAAAUAUACUUAGAAUAUUAAA